AUGUACAUGCUUACAACAUAGCGUUGAUACAUCAAAUCCCAUUAGAACUCUGUAGUUAAGCACACACGGGCUAGAGUAGUACUGGGAUGGGUGACUGCUCGAGAAGUCCUAUUGUUUUACAUA
rfam:Picea glauca, whole genome shotgun sequence.